rnacentral:rRNA from 1 species
AGUGAACGCUGGCGGUAGGCCUAACACAUGCAAGUCGAACGGCAGCACAGUAAGAGCUUGCUCUUACGGGUGGCGAGUUGCGGCUGGGUGAGGAAUACAUCGGAAUCUACUUUUUAGCGGGGCUUAACGAAGGGAAACUUACGCUAAUACCGCAUACGACCUACCGGUGACAGCCGGUGACCUUCGGUACUUGCGCGAUUGCAUCAGCCGAGGUCGGGUUAGCUGCUUGGCAGGGGAAAGUUCCACCAAGGCGACGACCCGUAGCUGGUAUGAGAGGAUGAUCAGGCACACGGGAAGUGAGACAGGGCCCAGACUCCUACAGGGGGCCGCGGUGGGGAAUAUUGGACGAUGGGGGAAAGCCUGAUCCAGCCAUACCGAGGGGGUGAUGAAGGACUUCGGGUUGGAAAGCCCUGUUGUUGGGAAAGAAAAGCAGCAGGUUAAGACCCCGCUGUUCUGACGGUACCCAAAGAAUAAGCACCGGCUAACUUCGUG